rnacentral:rRNA from 1 species
GACGAACGCUGGCGGCGUGCUUAAUACAUGCAAGUCGAACGGAAAGGCCCUGCUUUUGUGGGGUUCUCGAUUGGCGCACGGGUGAGUAACACGUGUGUAUCCUGCCCCUGACUUUGGGAUAACUCCAGGAAACUGGGGCUAAUAUCGCAUAGGAGCUCCUGCUGCAUGGUGGGCGUUGGUAAGUGUCGGCGGUUGGGGCUGUACUCGCGGCUUAUCCGCUUGUUGGUGGGGUAGUGGCUGACCAGGGCUUUGACGGGUAGCCGGCCUGAGAGGGUUACCGGCGACAUUGGGACUGCGAUACGGCCCAGACUCCUACGGGAGGCAGCAGUGGGGAAUCUUGCACAAUGGGCGGAAGCCUGAUGCAGCAACGCCGCGUGCGUGAUGACGGCCUUCGGGUUGUAAACCGCUUUCGCCUGUGACGAAGCGUGAGUGACGGUAAUGGGUAAAGAAGCACCGGCUAACUACGUG